UACGGAGGGUGCAAGCGUUGUCCGGAUUUAUUGGGUUUAAAGGGUGCGUAGGCGGCUUUUUAAGUCUGGGGUGAAAGCCCACUGCUCAACAGUGGAACUGCCCUGGAAACUGGAGAACUUGAGUACAGACGAGGGCGGCGGAAUGGAUGCUGUAGCGGUGAAAUGCAUAGAUAGCAUCCAGAACCCCGAUUGCGUAGGCAGCUGACUAGGCUGGUACUGACACUGAGGCACGAAAGCGUGGGGAGCGAACAGG
rnacentral:rRNA from 1 species